GCUCGCAUGGCUUAGUUGGUAAAGCGCGUCACUAGUAUUUGCUUAUGACGAGAUCCUGUGUUCGAAUCACAGUGUGAGCA
rnacentral:tRNA from 1 species